CUUGAUUAAGUUGCUUACCUUCUUUGAAUCUGUUUCCUCAUCUUGAAAGAUGGGGAUAAUUGUAUCUUCUUUUUACAGAGCUGUUGUGAAGAUUAAGUGGAGUUACAUAUAUUAAGCACCUGGCUCACAGGAGCAACUCUUUUAAAGUUUAAGCAGGAGCCAUCCUGAAUUUACUUGGAGUGAGUAGGAGAGAACAGGAGAUGCUGGGUAUAUGUUGCUGAGAUAGCUUUUCCCAGCACACUCACGGAAGGAUGGGGUUGUGUAAACAUGAUGACUAUAGCAAAACACCAAUAGGGAGGGAUGAUGGGAAAGCCAAACACAGGUCAGGUCAGUAAAGGAAGCACAAGUCCAGGGGCCAGUUCACUCUUCUACCUGAAGCAGAGACAGCACCAGUGGUCCCAAAGAUAACCAAUUGUUUAGAGCCUAGAGGAAAGGGAAGAACCCACAUCUACCAUGAAUGAAUAAAUGGCGACCUGGAAGCAUACUUCUGGUAGCAAUGGGGACACGGGUCAAAGGGGACUUGAGGUUAUCAGCUUUCAGAAUGAAGACACAUAAUCCCUAUUAGAGUGGAAGACUUAAAAUCGAGUUUGAGACCCACCUUCUGAAACUGCAGGCUCUUGGGAGCCUGAUUUCCGGUGAAGAGUGUUGCUGCUUUGCAUUUUUCACACUUGAACACAGUGAAGAAGAUGAACAUUAAUUAGGAUUAUAGUGCCAUGGAGGCUUACUGUGCUGUGAGAACUCACAAGAAAUAAAAUGCCAUUUCUUUUUUUGGAUGCAAUUCUGAGUGUCAUGUAUGUAUUAGUUCUUGGGCCCAAGCCAAGUUACUUUAGGGGUGAUAUACAAUCUGUUAUUUUUAGAUCAUAUUGGGUAAGGG
rnacentral:lncRNA from 1 species